UCUCCUUCCAAAUGGGCAGAUUUUUUAUAUAAUUUGACCCUAAGAAAAACCUACAUGUAUUUUUUACAUGUAUUUUUUUAUUUUUAGAAAAAUUAUAUAUGUUUGUUUUUAUACUCUAAUAAUUUUUGUAUUAUGUGAUAAAAAUUGUCAUAUGUAAGGUUCAUUAUAUGGCUCUUGUUCAUCUAACAUUCACUUAAUAUUUCCCAC
rnacentral:lncRNA from 1 species